rnacentral:lncRNA from 1 species
GAGCGUCUUGUGGUUACGGCCUGCGGCCUGCACCUCAGCUUCCUCCGCACGGUUAUCCCUGUACCCGCCGCCAUCCAUCCUGGCGCUCCGGAUGAGUCAAUGAGGGGCAGCGCCCGAGGAAUGGUCUUCCCAAGAACCCCCGGUGGCCUCCCAAGGCCGGCCUCGUGGGCUGUGCGGCUCUCCUGGAGACAGAUGACAGCUCUCCCUUGGAUGGCUUUGCUAGUUUCGCACCAGCCAGCGCCCCAUUUUUCCUGCAGCACCCUGAUCCGCACUCCCUGAGGGGCUCCCACUGUCCGCGGUGUGAGGAUGUCCCUGGAUAGUCCACUGUGUGCAGAGGCAUGGGAGUUGUCAUGUCGAUAACAUGCUAGACCUCAGUGUCCUUGAGCUUGAAGAAAGACAACAGAACACUGGAGACCAAGUACUUGCAGCCUUCUGCUCUGUGGCCCCUCCUCACUCCAGGGAUGCCGCCUUGGGUCUGGAGACUGUUAGAGGAAACCCCAAGAGGUGCAAGCACUGAGCCUCUCAGGACAAUGACCUGGGAUUCCACCUCCCCUGGAGGGGCCUCCUCAUGAUUGUUUGGGGGUUGAUCACAGACCAAGAGUGAUGAGUGAUGUCACCCUGUGAUGCAUGGCUGGACCUUCUUGCCCCUAUUGUCUCAGCACAACAUUAAUCGACUUUUCCCUCAGCGUGGGUGGGCAGAGGAAAAGCCCUGUGGCUCUGGGGACUUGGGAUCCAGAGUUGAAGACCCUUCAGCUGGCUCUGCCCUGCCAGUGCCACAGAGUGCCAUGGCCCAGGAAGACUGGUUUUCUUCCAUCUAGGCCAGGCCAUCCAGUGGCCAUCCUUCGUGUCCUCCCACCUCCUUCUGGUGUGACUUCUGAAAACCAAGAAUUUGUUCCUGUUGACUUUUUCUGUGCUAUGGACCAUUGUCCUCUGACCCACUCAAUAAAUCUUGAAACAUGC